CCCUGGCUGUUGCACAUUAGACAAGCAGUACUUGGAAAUAUCUUAUUUGGAUUUAAAUGUAUGGUGAUGUCUGUGGGGUUAAUCUAAGGAUAUUGCAAGUGUCAUACAAUGAGUUUGACUCUUCGGACCAGAAUAAAUUGUGGCAUAUUGGCACAUGAGUACCAGCGCCGUUAUAAUCCAAUUCAACGGUUUGCAUGCUAGUGUCAACGGACUGGUGGGUUGAGACCUCUGAGGCAGAGGGCUUCCUGGAGAAAUAUGGCUACCUGCACCAGGACAAUCACAUACACAAUGCCGCAGAGGUCAAAACAGCAGUCCGGCAUGGAGUAGUGUUUUUCCUCAGAGAGCCUGUUGCCCAGUGGAGCAGAAUAUUUAUGUUGGCCCGAAGACUGAAGUCGUAAUCUAAUUACUUACAUUGGAAUAUACACUUAUCAAGAUCGCUGUUGGCUGAUAAGAGUCAGUUCUAGGCUAUUAGCCUGGUAGCUGUCAAGUUGUGUGGUGUUAAGGGGAGGGCGUAGGUCUGUGUUACAGCCUGAAUUCAAAAUGGAUUGAAAAAAUAAUAAUUCCUCAGCCAUCUACACAUAAUACCCCAUAAUGACAGUGUGAAAACAUGUUUCCGUACCCAUUGGAUGCUGUGAUCACAAUAUAUUGGCUAUAUCCAGGAAAGCCAAAGUUCCACAAACUGGGCUUAAAAUGGUGUAUAAGAGAUCAUACAAGAGAUUUUGCUGUGACUUAUGUGGAUGAUGUUUAAAAUAUUUGUUUCUCUGAUGUGAUUAAUAAGGAGCAUUCAGAUGCUGCACCUGAUGAAUUUAUGAAAUUGCUUAUUCUAAUUAUUGAUAAACAUGCACCUUUUAAGAAAUAGACUGUUAGAACUGUUAAGGCUCCAUGGAUUGAUGAGGAUUGAAAAACUGUAUGGUUUAAAGAGAUGGGGCAAAAGGAGUGGCUAAUAACUGGCUUACUGCAAAUUGACAAAUGAUGUGACUAAACUCAACAAAAGGAAGAAGAAACUGUAUUAUGAAGCCAAGAUCAAUGAUGUAAAGAAUGAUGAAAAAAAAACUUGAGUACUUUAAAUGAAACUCUGGGCAGAAAGAAAAAAAAUUACUUUCAUCAAAUCAGAUGGCUUAUUCAUCACAAAACCAUUUGAUGUUGCUAAUUAUUUUAAUGAUUACUUCACUGGCAAAGUGGAACAACUUAGGUAGGAAAUGCCAACAACGAACAGUGAGCCAACAUACUCAUGCAUAAAAAAAACACAUAAUGACAUUUUCAAAUUAAUAAGAAGAUUGUGGGAACUGUACUGUUAGAUUUCAGUGGAGCCUUUGAUAUUAUUGACCGUAACCUGUUGUUGAGAAAACGUAUGUGUUAUAGCUUUUCAACCUCUGCCAUAUCGUGGAUUCAGAGCUAUCUAUUUAAUAGAACUUAGAGGGUUUUCUGUAAUGGAAGCUUCUCUAAUGUCAAACAUGUUAAGUGCGAUGUGCCGCAGGGCAGCUUUCUAGGCCCUCUACUCUUUUCUAUUUUUACCAAUGAUCUGCCACUGGCAAUAAACAAAGUAUGUGUGUCCAUGUAUGCUGAUGAUUCAACCAUACACACAUCAGCAACCACAGCUAAUCAAGUCACUGAAACCCUUAAAGAGUUGCAGUCUGUUUUGGAAUGGGUGGCCAGAAAUAAACUGGUCCUGAACAUCUCUAAAACUAAGAGCAUUGUAUUUGGUACAAAUCAUUCUCUAAGUUCUAGACCUCAGCUGAAUCUGGUAAUGAAUGGUGUGGCUGUUGAACAAGUGGAGGAGACUAAAUUACUCUGUUACCUUAGAUUGUAAACUGCAAUUGUCAAAACAUUUAGAUUCAAUGGUUGUAAAGGUGGGGACAGGUCUGUCUGUAAUAAAGAGUUGCUCUGCUUCUUUGACACCACACACAAAUAAAGCAACACCUCUCGGCACAAUGCCUCUCCCCCAUGUGACCUACUUGUUGUAUGUACUGUAUGUGUAACUGAUAGAUGCACACACACACUACAUGUUAAUGUUUUUAAAUGUAUGUAGAUUGUAAAGUAUUUUGUCUUUUUCAUUUUGUGUGGAAUCCCAG
rnacentral:lncRNA from 1 species